rnacentral:lncRNA from 1 species
UGGGAAGGUGAAGAUUGAGGAUCCUUUUAAGUAGUUUUUGCUCAGCUAGCAAAACAAGCUGGGACAUGCAAGACAGAUAAACACAGCUGUUUGGGGCUGUCACUUGGGGCUCAGGAGCCAAGGUGUCCUGCUGUAGUGAAAAGUGCACCGGAAUGUGCCAGCCACCAUACUGUGAGGGAGCUGAAGUAAGCCCACAUGAGGAAGAAUUGAGGUCCCAAGCCAACAGCUGCAGCUAAGAUCCAAGCUCUCAACCAGUACCAGUUCAUCCGUUAUUUCCCAACAAUAUCAAUGAAUAAGAAGGAAGUCUUAAGGCUCCAGGAAUCCCCUCAGGGAGACUAGCUUUCAGAAUUUUAGGCACACUAAGAUAUGGAAGCUAAAAGAGGACUAAGAGGAUUCUGGGGAUAUUACAAGAUAUUGCAGACUAUCUUGUUUUCCUGGAAAAGGAUUUUACCUCAGUCGACUGAAUUACUUUUUUCACUGUGUCUUGCCACUCUUCGUGCAUGCAUCAAAGACCCUAAUAUGACUUCUGGUGGCCUGGGACUCCUUGGGAAAACAGAAAAGGGGCCACAAAUCCCAUUUUGGGAACAAUCUGUUUUACUCAUGGAACCCCUGGAAUUAGAGGUGUGUAAGUACCUCUCAAAAUCUGUCUUUGUCUUCUGGCUAUGCUUUUUAUGAGGCCCUGGAAUUUGUAGUCCUAGCCCUGUUCUUAGAGUGUCUCACUAGGAGGCGUAAUAAUCCAAUUAGGAAACUAGCCAAUGAAAAAUCUCAUAACUACU